AGGCCAAACCGGAGGUAGCAAUAUUUCCGGGGUUAGGACUGCAAUAUGUAACUUUAAUCUUUAACUGAAUGCUUUGGGAAGAGCAGCGAUACAGGGUGAUAGCCCCGUAAGUGAAAAGGAUUGAGUGCUAGCAGUAUCCAGAGUACCAGCGGACACGUGAAACCCGCUGGGAAGAUGGGGGGACCAUCCUCCAAGCCUAAAUACUACUCAGUGACCGAUAGUGGAGCAGUACCGUGAGGGAAAGGUGAAAAGUACCCCGGGAGGGGAGUGAAAAAGAACCUGAAACCUUGUGCCUACAAGCACCGAGAGCACGUUAAAGUGUGAUCGGGUACUUUUUGUAGAACGGUCCGGCGAGUUAAUAUUUGCAGCGAGGUUAAGGAACUGGAGUUCCGGAGCCGCAGCGAGAGCGAGUCUGAAUAGGGCGUAUGAAGUUGCAGGUAUUAGACCCGAAACCGGGUGACCUAUCCAUGAGCAGGCUGAAGCGGUGGUAAGACACCGUGGAGGGCCGCACCCACGUCUGUUGAAAAAGCCGGGGAUGACUUGUGGAUAGCGGAGAAAUUCCAAUCGAACUCGGAGAUAGCUGGUUCUCCCCGAAAUAGCUUUAGGGCUAGCGUUAUUUUAGAUUACCGGAGGUAAAGCACUGAAUGGUCUAGGGGCCGCGAGGUUACCAAAGCCUAUCAAACUCUGAAUGCCGGAUAAUUGAUGAAUAGCAGUCAGACUGUGUGAGAUAAGUCUCAUAGUCAAAAGGGAAACAGCCCAGAUCUACAGCUAAGGUCCCAAAUGAACACUAAGUGGAAAAUGAUGUGAAACUGCGAAGACAACCAGGAUGUUGGCUUAGAAGCAGCCACUCAUUCAAAGAGUGCGUAAUAGCUCACUGGUCGAGUGGUUUUGCGCAGAAAAUGUAACGGGGCUAAGUGUUCAACCGAAGCUUAGGCAUUGCAGUAAUGCAUUGGGUAGGGGAGCGUCGUAUGCGGGGCGAAGUCAGAGCGGAAGCACUGGUGGACUGCAUACGAGUGAGAAUGCCGGAAUAAGUAGCGAGAAUUAUGUGGGAAUCAUAAUGGCCGAAAAUCUAAGGUUUCUUGGGGAAGGUUCGUCCGCCCAAGGUUAGUCGGGAGCUAAGCUCAGGCCGAAAGGCGUAGGCGAUGCACAUACGGUAGAAAUUCCGUAACCACCGAACAUUUAAGCUAGAGGGACGCUUUCUUUAAGGUUAUCCCGGGCGAUGGUUGCCCCGGGCGUAAGGGACCGAAAUAUAGUAGGGAAGUAACUGGCGAGAGAGACGAGAAAAGCUCUAGUGUAUACUAAGGUGCCCGUACCGCAAACCGACACAGGUAGAUGGGAUGAGUAUUCUAAGGCCAACGGGAGAAGGGUUGUUAAGGAACUCGGCAAAUUGGCCCCGUAACUUCGGGAUAAGGGGCGCCUGCGAGAGCAGGCCGCAGUGAAAAGGCCCAAGCGACUGUUUAGCAAAAACACAGCUCUCUGCUAAAUCGAAAGAUGACGUAUAGGGGGUGACGCCUGCCCGGUGCUGGAAGGUUAAGGGGAGUGCUUAGCGCAAGCGAAGGUGCGAACUUAAGCCCCAGUAAACGGCGGCCGUAACUAUAACGGUCCUAAGGUAGCGAAAUUCCUUGUCAGGUAAGUUCUGACCCGCACGAAUGGCGUAACGAUUUGGGCACUGUCUCAACAGCCCGCCCGGCGAAAUUGUAGUACCGGUGAAGAUGCCGGUUUCCCGCAACUAGACGGAAAGACCCCAUGGAGCUUCACUGUAGCUUGAUAUUGGAUCUCGGUAUUCCAUGUACAGGAUAGGUGGGAGGCUAGGAAGUAAGCGCGCCAGCGUUUAUGGAGCCAACCUUGGGAUACCACUCUUGGGAUAUUGGGAUUCUAACCUGCGACCAUGAAUCUGGUCGGGGGACACUGUCAGGUGGGCAGUUUGACUGGGGCGGUCGCCUCCAAAAGAGUAACG
rnacentral:rRNA from 1 species